UACGGGGGGUGCAAGCGUUAAUCGGAAUUACUGGGCGUAAAGGGUGCGUAGGUGGUUUGAUAAGUUAUCUGUGAAAGCCCUGGGCUCAACCUGGGAAGGCCAGAUAAGACUGUUAGACUCGAGUACGGGAGAGGGCAGUGGAAUUUCCGGUGUAGCGGUGAAAUGCGUAGAGAUCGGAAGGAACACCAGUGGCGAAGGCGGCUGCCUGGCCUGAUACUGACACUGAGGCACGAAAGCGUGGGGAGCAAACAGG
rnacentral:rRNA from 1 species